UAACAAACUUUUUGUGGCCUACGUUAGA
rnacentral:sRNA from 1 species